UAAAAGGUAAAUAUUGCUUGUCUGUGGUCUGCAUAAAAAGCUGACAUUGUAUGCAACUCCGAGAGAGUUUCGAAGAUGCUAACUAUGGCACAAAGAAUGGGGAGAUAUUUCUACCGAGUAGAGUGAGCCUCGCACUACCCUGAGGAACUGAAGCUCUUGUCAAGGACCCCUACCUCUACCGGACCCCUUGGACCGGAAUCUGAGUGAUGCUGCAUAGACAGUUGGCAGGCUGACAAGGACCUGGCGGCAGUCACCUUUAUGAUUGUAUAAAAUAACUGGCGAAAUACCAUAAACUUGAUUUGGAUUUUGAAUGUGAGAGUGUUAAUAUUUUUAAAUCAA